UCCGGUUUGGCACCGGCAGUCUCCCUAGAGUCCCCGACAUGACUCGCUGGCAACUAGGGACGGGGGUUGCGCUCGUUGCGGGACUUAACCCAACAUCUCACGACACGAGCUGACGACAGCCAUGCAGCACCUGUGCACGGACUCCGAAGAGGGGCCGGUGUUUCCACCGGCUUGCCCGUGCAUGUCAAGCCCAGGUAAGGUUCUUCGCGUUGCGUCGAAUUAAACCACAUGCUCCACCGCUUGUACGGGCCCCCGUCAAUUCCUUUGAGUUUUAAUCUUGCGACCGUACUCCCCAGGCGGGAUGCUUAAUGCGUUAGCUGCGCCACUGAAGGGUAAACCCCCCAACGGCUGGCAUCCAUCGUUUACGGCGUGGACUAC
rnacentral:misc_RNA from 1 species